UACGUAGGCGGCAAGCGUUGUUCGGAAUUACUGGGCGUAAAGAGUGUGUAGGCGGUGCUCCAAGUCUGGUGUGAAAUCUCCCGGCUUAACUGGGAGGGUGCAUUAGAAACUGGAAUGCUAGAGGAUGGGAGAGGUAAGCGGAAUUCCUGGUGUAGCGGUGAAAUGCGUAGAUAUCAGGAGGAACACCUGCGGUGUAGACAGCUUACUGGACCAUUUCUGACGCUGAGACACGAAAGCGUGGGUAGCAAACAGG
rnacentral:rRNA from 1 species